UACGUAGGGUGCAAGCGUUGUCCGGAAUUAUUGGGCGUAAAGAGCUCGUAGGCGGUUUGUCGCGUCUGCUGUGAAAACUCGGGGCUCAACUCCGAGCUUGCAGUGGGUACGGGCAGACUAGAGUGCGGUAGGGGAGACUGGAAUUCCUGGUGUAGCGGUGGAAUGCGUAGAUAUCAGGAGGAACACCGGUGGCGAAGGCGGGUCUCUGGGCAGUAACUGACGCUGAGGAGCGAAAGCGUGGGGAGCGAACAGG
rnacentral:rRNA from 1 species